GGGGAAUAUUGCACAAUGGGGGAAACCCUGAUGCAGCAACGCCGCGUGAGUGAUGAAGGUCUUCGGAUCGUAAAGCUCUGUCUUCAGGGACGAUAAUGACGGUACCUGAGGAGGAAGCCACGGCUAACUACGUGCCAGCAGCCGCGGUAAUACGUAGGUGGCGAGCGUUGUCCGGAUUUACUGGGCGUAAAGGGAGCGUAGGCGGAUUUUUAAGUGAGAUGUGAAAUACCCGGGCUCAACUUGGGUGCUGCAUUUCAAACUGGAAGUCUAGAGUGCAGGAGAGGAGAGUGGAAUUCCUAGUGUAGCGGUGAAAUGCGUAGAGAUUAGGAAGAACACCAGUGGCGAAGGCGACUCUCUGGACUGUAACUGACGCUGAGGCUCGAAAGCGUGGGGAGCAAAC
rnacentral:rRNA from 1 species